GUGAGGAAUUUUCCGCAAUGGGCGAAAGCCUGACGGAGCAAUGCCGCGUGAAGGAUGAAGGCCUAUGGGUUGUAAACUUCCUUUCUCAGAAAAGAAUUAUGACGGUAUCUGAGGAAUAAGCAUCGGCUAACUCUGUGCCAGCAGCCGCGGUAAGACAGAGGAUGCAAGCGUUAUCCGGAAUGAUUGGGCGUAAAGCGUCUGUAGGUUGUUUAGAAAGUAUUCUGUCAAAGAUUAGGGCUUAACCCUAGAUAGGCAGAAUAAACUUUUAAGCUAGAGUUUGGUAGAGGCAGAGGGAAUUCCCGGUGGAGCGGUGAAAUGCGUAGAUAUCGGGAGGAACACCAAAGGCGAAGGCACUCUGCUGGGCCAAUACUAACACUGAGAGACGAAAGCGAGGGGAGCAAAUGGGAUUAGAAACCCUUGUAGUCC
rnacentral:rRNA from 1 species